UUGGAGGGCAAGUCUGGUGCCAGCAGCCGCGGUAAUUCCAGCUCCAAUAGCGUAUAUUAAAGUUGUUGCAGUUAAAAAGCUCGUAGUUGAAUUUCGGGGUUAGUAGGUUGGUCAUGCCUCUGGUAUGUACUGGUCUCACUGAUUCCUACCUUCUGACGAACCAUCAUGUCAUUAAUUUGGUGUGGUGGGGAAUCAGGACUGUUACUUUGAAAAAAUUAGAGUGUUUAAAGCAGGCUCGCGCUUGAAUACAUUAGCAUGGAAUAAUGAAAUAGGACGUUGACCCUAUUUUGUUGGUUUCUAGGAUUGACGUAAUGAUUAAUAGGGAUAGUUGGGGGCAUUAGUAUUCAAUUGUCAGAGGUGAAAUUCUUGGAUUUAUUGGAGACUAACUACUGCGAAAGCAUUUGCCAAGGAUGUUUUCAUUAAUCAAGAACGAAAGUUAGGGGAUCGAAGACGAUCAGAUACCGUCGUAGUCUUAACCAUAAACUAUGCCGACUAGGGAUCGGAUGAUGUUAAUUUUUUAAUGACUCAUUCGGCGCCUUACGGGAAAC
rnacentral:rRNA from 1 species